UGCUUGCCAAUAACCCUAGCGCGUAUGGAUAUAAACAUGAUUUGCAGCAACCAGAUGUCCACAUCUCUUUAGCAUCGAACCCAGUGCCAAAAGGCUCUUUUCCACAUUUCCAUCGGUCCUCGUGCUCUUGAAUAUGAGAGAUGUGUCUCAUUUAUCUCUCAAAACAACACAACCUAGCCUUCACCCUUAGCCGCCGCUCCUCCAUUGCUCUCUAGAUCUCCCAAAUUGAAACUGCAAAUCAUGCCUCCAUUGCUCUCGAUAGGGUUCAUCACCAUCGCUGUAUCUCUGCUGCGAAACCCGAAGUCGCAAAGGUAAAAAUCUCUCUUUGCUGCCAUUGAGUUCCAUUUUGGAUUAGUUUCAUGUAAACACAAAAGAACUAACACAUGGAACUGCUUUCUCUGCGAGUGUUCUCGUAUCCACAAUAAAAGAAGCGCACCAACACCUAACUUCACAGAUCCAUGGCCAAUCGUCCAAGACUCCCCCAUCUGCAGGAUCUGACUCCGAUGUCUUGGAUGACGGCGUAACAAAGGAAAUGCUCGGACUGCGCAGAGCCGUUGUAAACUAGAAGAUAGAGCACAUGAGCCGUGGAUCCAAAAUAAAAGAACCGUUGAUGGCAAGGAAAAAAAUAAAGGAAAACCGCUCGGAGACCACAGAUCCGUUGAUGACAAGGACACUCGGAUCCGUGAGAUAGAAUGCUCAAGCUGCAGAUUUGGUAGACAAAAUGGAAAAGUUUCCAAAUUGCCGGGACUUCGGAUCUGAAAGGUAUAAACCCUCAUCUCUGUUGGAAUCCAUGUUGGAUGUGUAAACUUCUGUAAAUGAGUAUGGCAUGCAUGUAUUAUCUGUGAGACCACCCCCAAACUUAAUAUAAGUAAUAACCGGGGAUUGUAAAUGUUGUGAAAAAAAAUUGGGAUCUGUAUGGGGAUGAGAAUUUUGGACUUGGAACAUGCCUUCUCCCAGUAAUAAAAGUGAAUGAAAACCUAGAUCAACCCUGAACAUAUAUGUGGACGAUUUGGACUUUAAACCUUGCGGAGGACAGAUAAAUUACCAACCCCCAAACUCAAAUAAUGGCAUACAUGGCAUCUUCGGAUGUAAAAGUUAUAGAUCUGUAGAAAAUAACGACUAGAAAUAAUGGAUUGCAAUUCCUUGCAUACCUUUAACGUCUU
rnacentral:sRNA from 1 species